CUUGUCUCAGAGUCCUGGGCUCAAGCCAUCUUCCUACCUUGGUCUCCCAAAGUGCCGGGAUUACUCGCAGGAGCCACCACACCCAGCCUGGGGUUUGCAUUAAAACCAGGAAAGGGACCUCUGGAGCCCAAGAAGGCAGAUCCUUUGAGUGUAAAUUUAAUUGGGAACACUAAAUCAUGCCUUGCAAAUAACAGGCAGUAAGAACAGCUCUGAGUUAUAAACCAGAUGAGGUUUUUUACUCAUGGCUCAGGAUGUCCUAAAUUGAAAAGGAAUUCCAAAAAAUUUGAAAGAAAAGCAGCUUUCUAGAAUAAAUGUCAUUUCUCAUAGGCAUUUUUGUUUUUUUUUUUCUUGAAAUAGUUUAUUUGAUGUCUUUUAUUCCAUAUAUGUGGGUUUUCUGGCAAAAUUUGAAAGGGGAAUGGGAAUAAGAGUAGUAAGAUAGGUUUUAAAAAUGAGAUAUUUAAAAUUUAUUUGAGUAACAAUUCUGUAAUAUCCUCCCUGCUCUUAUACAGUCAUGUGCUGAAUAACAACAUCAAGUCAGUGAUGGACUGCAUAUGUGACGGUGCUCCCAUAAGAUUACAAAUUUUGUAGAGAUGGGGUCUCGCUAUGUUGCCCAGGCUGGUCUUCAACUCCUGGCCUCAAGUGAUCCUCCUGCCUUGGCCACCUCCCAAAGUGUUGGGAUUAACAGGCGUGAGCUGCCAUGUUCAGCCAUAAUACCAUGUUUACUGUACUUUUUCUAUGUUUAGGUAUGUUUAAGUACACAAAUACUACCAGUGUGUUACAACUGCCUAUGGUAUUUAGUGCAGUAACAUGCUGUACAGUUUAGCCUAGGAGCAAUAGGCCCUACCAUGUAUGUAGCUUAGGUGUGUAGUAAGCUACGCUGUCUUAGUUUGGGUAAAUAUGUUCUAUGAUGUUCACACAACAAAUCACCUAACAACGCAUUUCUUGACUGUAUUUUUUACUGUUUUCGAUAAAUAACUUGAUCUGUUUCUUAAUGUUUAAAACCAAAUCUGAUUUAAAUAGGAACAGAGUUCUGAAUUUUAGUUUUGUUGUCGUGAAAAAUCAGAAUUAACAAAUCUUGAUCUUUGAAGCAAAUGUGAGUUUUAAACAUUUAAUGUAAAAUACUGUGAAAAGUGUUACCGCUCUUUUAGAAUAUUAGACCUUUAGCAGGUCUUGCAGUCUUCACCAGAAACACUCCCACACCUACACACACACAAAGUGUUUUUUUUUUUUUUUUUAGACGGAGUCUCGCUCUGUCACCCAGGCUGAAGUGCAGUGGUGCGAUCUCAGCUCACUGCAAGCUCCGCCUCCUGGGUUCACGCCAUUCUCCUGCCUCAGCCUCCCGAGUAGCUGGGACUGUAGACGCCUGCCACCAUGCCCGGCUAAUUUUUCUGUAUUGUUAGUAGAGAUGGGGUUUCACUGUGUUAGCCAGGAUGGUCUUGAUCUCCUGAUCUCGUGACCCGCCUGCCUCGGCCUCCCAAAGCGCUGGGAUUACAGGCAUGAGCCACCACACCUGGCCCACACACAAGUAUUUUUUUUUUUUAAAAAAAGAUAAAAUGCUGUGAAAGUUAUUUAAAUAUUUGUCUCAGUUAAAGCCUUUUUUUUUCCCAUUUGUAACAGUGUGACUGGUGUCUUAACCAGUGUGACUUCCUCUGACUUACUAAUGUUCACUCUUUGAGACAAAAUUUAAAAGCUUUAAUGGAAAAGUGUGAUUUUUGCUGUGAGAAUUUGAUUAACUCUCAAUUCAUUCUUUCAGUACUCGGGUUUCAUAUUUUGCUGUUUUUGAUGGACAUGGAGGAAUUCGAGCCUCAAAAUUUGCCGCACAGAAUUUGCAUCAGAACUUAAUCAGAAAAUUUCCUAAAGGAGAUGUAAUCAGUGUAGAGAAAACCGUGAAGAGAUGCCUUUUGGACACUUUCAAGCAUACUGAUGAAGAGUUCCUUAAACAAGCUUCCAGCCAGAAGCCUGCUUGGAAAGAUGGGUCCACUGCCACGUGUGUUCUGGCUGUAGACAACAUUCUUUAUAUUGCCAACCUCGGAGAUAGUCGGGCGAUCUUGUGUCGUUACAAUGAGGAGAGUCAAAAACAUGCAGCCUUAAGCCUCAGCAAAGAGCAUAAUCCAACUCAGUAUGAAGAGCGGAUGAGGAUACAGAAGGCUGGAGGAAAUGUCAGGGAUGGGCGUGUUUUGGGCGUGCUAGAGGUGUCCCGCUCCAUUGGGGAUGGGCAGUACAAGCGCUGCGGUGUCACCUCUGUGCCCGACAUCAGACGCUGCCAGCUGACCCCCAAUGACAGGUUCAUUUUGUUGGCCUGUGAUGGGCUCUUCAAGGUCUUUACCCCAGAAGAAGCCGUGAACUUCAUCUUGUCCUGUCUCGAGGAUGAGAAGAUCCAGACCCGGGAAGGGAAGUCUGCAGUCGACGCCCGCUACGAAGCAGCCUGCAACAGGCUGGCCAACAAGGCGGUGCAGCGGGGCUCGGCCGACAACGUCACCGUGAUGGUGGUGCGGAUAGGGCACUGAGGGGUGGCGCGCGGCCAGGAGCACGCAUGGUAUCGACUUAAAAGGUUCAUUUUGUGUGUGUGCACAUUGUGUGUUUUGUGUACUCCUGUGGGACUCCCAUGGUUGUAAAUAAAGGUUUCUCUUUUUU
rnacentral:sRNA from 1 species